GAAUGCUGACAUAAGUAACGAUAAAGCGGGUGAAAAGCCCGCUCGCCGGAAGACCAAGGGUUCCUGUCCAACGUUAAUCGGGGCAGGGUGAGUCGACCCCUAAGGCGAGGCCGAAAGGCGUAGUCGAUGGGAAACGGGUUAAUAUUCCCGUACUUGGUGUUACUGCGAAGGGGGGACGGAGAAGGCUAUGUUGGCCGGGCGACGGUUGUCCCGGUUUAAGCGUGUAGGUGUGUGUUCCAGGUAAAUCCGGUUCACUUUAACACUGAGGCGUGAUGACGAGGCACUACGGUGCUGAAGCAACAAAUGCCCUGCUUCCAGGAAAAGCCUCUAAGCAUCAGG
rnacentral:rRNA from 1 species